ensembl:lncRNA
CGCUGCUCAGGUUUUGAAAGCCAGCAUUUCAUGCUGCUCCCCAGAGAGCCAGCAGCAGCUUCAUCAGAAUCCAUCUGUACAGCAGUCACAUUGCUGAAAUCUUCAGCCAACCCAGGAUUCAUUUAUUUAUUUUCUGGGAGAAGAAGGGGGGGAGCGAGAAGGAGAAGGAGGAAGCGGAGGUGAAAAGAAUUGAUUAGAAUCCCUUCAUAUUUAACACAUACAUACGCUUGACCAAUCCCUAAGUACGAGGUGGUGAGUCAGGGGUGGGGGCUUACUUUGAUCAAUUUCGCGAUGAGUCAGAGCUGUCAGUGGGUGAGUGAAUAAGAACAGUAAGACAACAAGGGGAUGUCGGGCUGGGAGGUGAGAAGCAGAAAGGAUACACUCGAUAAGUUACAGUGCUGCUCAGCAGACUGCGUUGGGGCACUGCUCGGACUGAUGGGGAACAGCAGGGAGCAAAGCUUUAUAGAUGAGAAACCCGGGGCGUGGGGACCAGACAGAAGAUGUUUUCUAGCGAGGAUAACGGGGACCAUCAAUUCCCCAGCUCCUGCCACUGCCUCCCUUUCACCUUUUCCAGAUCGCAAAGAGUCGAGAAGAAAAGCAGAAUUGCCUCAAUGACAUUCCAGGCAAGCCACCAUGGGGAAGCUGAUGCUUCAAUAGGGCCAACGGAUGUUUUGAUUGAGUCCAGCUGUGUCUGUGUUCCCACACUCCAAAGGCCGCUGGGAUCAGAGAGGCUGUAUGGCAGCAUUUACCACCUAAGAAGUGUGAGAUGGCCUUCUUUACACGGGGAAAGAUAUUGUUGGGCAGAUAUUGAUGGUUGAACAGACGUAUGCUGGGUUUUCUUUGCUGUAAACUUGUGGUUUUUGGAUCAGGAAAGCAUUGUUCCUGGAGUCUCUUCACAGCAGGAUUGGGAAUUGGUAAAUACAAAAGGGGGAAAAAAGAAAUCUUUCAUGAAGUGCUUCCUGAUAAAGUAGAGUCAGUUGUAGUUCAGAUUAAUUCAUGCCUCAGGGACAUUGGGAUAUAGAAUAACAUAUUUUUCACUGUAACAUCGGGGUUGGUUUUAUCCCCUUUCAAAGUUCUAAUAGGGGUUACCUUGGCUUCCUUCUUGCCUAAUAAGUAAAGUUCAAACUCCUUAGCAUGAUCUUCAAGGCCUUACACAAUCUAGUCUCAGUUUACCUUUAUAAGUCUGUCUCCUUUACAUGUACCACAUUGACCUGGGAUAGCAGAAAGAACACUGGCUUUGGAGUCAGCAGACCUAGAUUCAAAUCUGAUGGCUACUGCCUCCCGAGUUGCUUUUUCUGAAAAAUGAAGGAAUUGGACUGUAUGGCCUGUGAGAUCCCUUGAAUCAAUCUGACAUGACAUGUCUGAUUGAAAUACUCACUGUUCCCUGAAAAUGCCUAGUCCUUUUCUGCCUCUGUCCCUUUCUUCAACCUUCUCCUCUCUUAAAACAUCUCCCCUUUCACCUCUGCCCUUUGAAAUCAUAGUUUCAUAGAUUUGGAGCUAGAAAAGACCUUACAAAUCAUCUAAUCUAACCCUCUCAUUUUGCAGAUGAGGAAUCUGAGACCCAGAGAAUCCCCUAAGGCUGCACAACUAGUAAGUGGUAAUGUCAGGAUUUGAACCCAGGGUCUCUCUGAAGCCAAUCCACUGCAUUUCACUCCCCCCCCCCCAAAUCGUAGCCAUCCUUCACAGCUCGGCUCAAAAAACCACCAAUUUAAAAGUCCUCCCUGAUUACUCUAUCAAGAAAUGAAAAAUUCAGAAGCUAAAGAGCUUGGAGAAGGAAGGAAGGAAACAUUGAUUAGGUACCUACUAUAUGCUAAAUGUUUUAAAAAUAUAAUGUCAUUUGAUCCACAAACCAACCCUGGAAUGUGGGUGCUAUUAUUAUUCCCAUUUUACAGUUGAGGGAACUGAGGCUGACAGUAGUUAAAUGACUUGCCCAGGGUCCCACACCUAGUAAGGUUACAUUUGAAUGCAGGGCUUACUGACUCCAGGCUCAGCAUUCUAGCUGCUUUGCCACCCAGAUGCCUAGGAGAAAGGGGAGUCUGUAUUUGCUUUUUUUUUUUUUGUUCUCCCUUUUCUCCACUGAAGAGAAAUGCCCAAAUUCCUGUCCUAGCUACAAGAGCAAGAAGGCAUAUCACCUUGGGCAAACCACUUAAACUUUCAGUUGCCUCAGUUUAUUGAAAAAUGGUGGAGAACUUUGUACACAGUAACAACAACGCUGUAUGAUGAUCAACUGUGAAAGAUUUAGCUCUUCCCAGCAAUACAAUGAUCCAAGACAAUUCCAAAGGACUCAUGAAGAUUGCUAUUCACACAGGAAGAAUGAACUGAUAGAAUCUGAAUGAAGAUCAAAGCAUACUAGUUUCACUUUCUUUAUUUUUUUGUGGUUUUAUUUGGUCUGUUUCUUCUUUCACAACAUGACUAAUAUGAAUUUUUUUUACAUGAUUGUACAUCUGUAACCUAUAUCAAAUUGCUCACUGUCUUAGUAGGGAGGGAAAAAAUAAAGGAAGGAAAAAAUUUGGAACUUAAAAUUUU